rnacentral:rRNA from 1 species
UACGUAGGGGGCUAGCGUUGUCCGGAUUUAUUGGGCGUAAAGAGCGUGUAGGCGGCCAGAUAGGUCUGCUGUGAAAACUCGAGGCUCAACCUCGAGAUGUCGGCGGAAACCAUUUGGCUAGAGUCCGGAAGAGGAAAGUGGAAUUCCUGGUGUAGCGGUGAAAUGCGCAGAUAUCAGGAGGAGCACCAGCGGCGAAGGCGGCGCUCUGGGCCGGAACUGACGCUGAGGAGCGAAAGCGUGGGUAGCAAACAGG